rnacentral:rRNA from 1 species
UGGGGAAUAUUGGGCAAUGGGCGAAAGCCUGACCCAGCAACGCCGCGUGAGGGAAGAAGGUUUUCGGAUUGUAAACCUCUGUCCUCAGCGAAGAGCAGGAGACGGUAACUGAGGAGGAAGCCCCGGCUAACUACGUGCCAGCAGCCGCGGUAAUACGUAGGGGGCGAGCGUUGUCCGGAAUGAUUGGGCGUAAAGGGCGCGUAGGCGGCCUGUUAAGUCUGGAGUGAAAGUCCUGCCUUCAAGGUGGGAAUUGCUUUGGAUACUGGCGGGCUUGAGUGCAGGAGAGGUUAUCGGAAUUCCCGGUGUAGCGGUGAAAUGCGUAGAGAUCGGGAGGAACACCAGUGGCGAAGGCGGGUAACUGGACUGCAACUGACGCUGAGGCGCGAAAGUGUGGGGAGCAAACAGG